rnacentral:tRNA from 1 species
UGGGGUAUAGCCAAGCGGUAAGGCAUCAGAUUCUGACUCUGACACUCGUGGGUUCAAAUCCCGCUACCCUAGCCA